GACGAACGCUGGCGGCGUGCUUAAUACAUGCAAGUCAACUGAACUUGAAGUAGCAAUAUUUCAAGGGAGGUGGCGCACGGGUGAGUAACACGUAGGUAAUCUGCCUUUAGGUCUGACAUAAUUCCGCGAAAGCGGGACUAACUUCAGAUGAUGCAGCGGCUCGACAUCGAGACAGUUGUUAAACCUUCGGGGCCUAAAGAUGAGCCUGCGUCUGAUUAGGUAGUUGGCGGAGUAAUAGCCCACCAAGCCAUCGAUCAGUAGCUGGUCUGAGAGGAUGAUCAGCCACACUGGAACUGAGACACGGUCCAGACUCCUACGGGAGGCAGCAGUAAGGAAUAUUGCUCAAUGGCCGAAAGGCUGAAGCAGCAACGCCGCGUGGAGGAUGAAAUACUUUUGUAUGUAAACUCCUGUAAGAAGGGAAAAUAAACAGAUUUUCUGUGUUGAUUGUACCUUCAGAGUAA
rnacentral:rRNA from 1 species